AUGAAGAACGUAGCGAAAUGCGAUAAGUAGUGUGAAUUGCAGAAUUCAGUGAAUCAUCGAAUCUUUGAACGCACAUUGCGCCCCAUGGUAUUCCGUGGGGCAUGCCUGUUCGAGCGUCAUUUACCCCCUCAAGCUCCGCUUGGUGUUGGGCGUCUGUCCCGCUUCGCGCGCGGACUCGCCCCAAAGGUAUUGGCAGCGGUCGUGCCAGCUUCUCGCGCAGCACAUUGCGCUUCUCGAGGCACCGGUGGGCCCGCGUCCAUCAAGCUCACCCCCCCAGUUUGACCUCGGAUCAGGUAGGGAUACCCGCUGAACUUAAGCAUAUCAAUAAGCGGAGGA
rnacentral:misc_RNA from 1 species